ACUGGCUAGAUUCAAAGAUUAAUGUGUUUCUAAAUAGAGAAUAAGUUAAUUUAAUGUGUUUCCAAAUAGGAAGAAGAUAAUUUAGAUUAUAUUUCUCAAAACUGUUUCUAGGGUUGAAACAUUGGCCCAUUUGAUUAUUCUCACUAUGAACAUUUCAGAACUCUGAAGAUCUGGACAGCUUUCUAACACCUGUUCAAAACAAUCAUCUGUAUGCUGUCUAACCAGCACUGAAACAGAGGAAGAAUUUCCUUACUUGUUCAGAACAGAAUAUUGCCACAGCCCCACUAUUGUUUUAGCUUUGGGACAGCCUCAUUAUAUGGUUGAUUUAUUCUGACCAUCACACGCAGGUUUGUGAGGCAUGUAGAUGAGAUCAACAUGGUAUGUUCUCCCUCAAGCCCCUGCUAAAACUACGGGCGAGGCUAACACCAGGGACAGAGUGCUCUGCUGUUAACUCCAGUUUGAUCCUUCUAGUUACAUAUGAUCCAUUCAUCCACAACGCAAGGGUGUUGCUUAAUUAACUAAAAGGGCACUCGAAUGCCCUAUAUCUGAUCAUUCAGCUCACAAUGUACCUUUGGUUUAACAGAGAGAUCAUGAGAAUAUUUUUCAAGUGACUCACAAUAGUGAAGAUACUCUGUGUCUGCCAUACUCCUGUGAACCUCCAGUCUAUUCAGUUGUGGGCAACAAUGAGAUUGCCUUGAUAUGAUUGUUGUUAGCAAAUGCAAGCUGGCUGAUAUUAACCAUCACUUCCUUUUCUAAGGGUUCAUAAACCAUCUGUUAAAUAAUUAAUUCAAGACUUUCACUAGAAAUUGACAUCUAGCCCAUUAUCAAUAAUUUCCAUAAUAUACUCCAUUCCCAUUAAAAGAUAAAUAUUAGUAAAAAAAAAAUCUAUCAAUAGAAUGUUGUUAGUUGAUAACUGGGGCAAGAGACUGCAACUACACUUAACGGGAAAGAGCAACAUAGACAACAGAAACAGAAAAGCAAAGGGUAUGUUCAGUGUAUGGUCACACUGAGUGGCUCACUGUGGUGGGAGCUGAGAGUUCUUAAGUGGUUUAAUUAGGACUAGAAUGGAAAUAAAGGUUGUGUGGUUCUCAUGAUGGUUAUGGGGACCUUGCUGAUGUGUUUGAACUUUAUGAGUGUGAGUCCUGAUCCAGGACAGGACAGAAAGAAGUGGAAACAGAAAGAAGGUGGCAGAUGCUAGUG
ensembl:lncRNA novel transcript